rnacentral:misc_RNA from 1 species
GAUGAAGAACGCAGCGAAAUGCGAUAAGUAAUGUGAAUUGCAGAAUUCAGUGAAUCAUCGAAUCUUUGAACGCACCUUGCGCCCUUUGGCUAUUCCGAAGGGCAUGCCUGUUUGAGUAUCAUGAACACCUCAACUCUCGUGGCUUGCCAUGAUGAGCUUGGACUUUGGGGGUCUUGCUGGCCUGUGGUCAGCUCCUCUCAAAUGAAUCAGCUUGCCAGUGUUUGGUGGCAUCACAGGUGUGAUAACUAUCUACGCUUGUGGUUCUCCACCAGGUAACCUUUGGUGACGAAGGUUCGCUGGGGCUUAUAAAUGUCUCUCCUCAGUGAGGACAGCUCUUUGAACGUUUGAUCUCAAAUCAGGUAGGACUACCCGCUGAACUUAAGCAUAUCAAUAAGCGGAGGA